rnacentral:rRNA from 1 species
UACGAAGGGGGCUAGCGUUGCUCGGAAUCACUGGGCGUAAAGCGCACGUAGGCGGGUUGCCAAGUCGGGGGUGAAAUCCUGGAGCUCAACUCCAGAACUGCCUUCGAUACUGGCGAUCUUGGAGUCCGGGAGAGGUGAGUGGAACUGCGAGUGUAGAGGUGAAAUUCGUAGAUAUUCGCAAGAACACCAGUGGCGAAGGCGGCUCACUGGCUCGUUUCUGACGCUGAUGCGCGAAAGCCAGGGGAGCGAACGGG